AGUUAAUGCAUGGGCUCUCGUGAUUGGCUGAAAGUUCUGUUGAAGGUUUUCAGUUUCAGACUGUCCGAUGGACUGAGAUCGGUUUAGCCCGUUUCUCCUCGUCUGAAAAAUAUUAAGCCACGAAUAAAUCAAGCUUAUUGGAUUUUUUAAAGAGUGCUUUGGUCAACCGUAUGGUUCGUCGUAUAUACAAAGGAAGGAGUUCGGUGUACGCACUUCAUAGAAACAUUUCUGUGGGACACUGGAAUUUCUUCUCUGGGGCCUUCAGCAGUUGGAAACUUAGAAAUUCGGUCACCAAGACCUUCUCAGUAAACGCCUUCCUGAGAACCUGGGAUUUGGUGAUGAUACAAGUGAUGAUAAUGUCAUAGCAAAGUGCCUUUGGCCGUAUGAUAACAGACAGGUACUCGAGAGUUGCAUGAAGGAUGUAGAAAGAAGUUUCGGGAAGACUUUCAUUCCAACAUGGUUAACGAUCCUCGACAGAGAGACUCACCAUCCCUUCAUCUCACUGGAAGAUGAUAAACUGUUUAUCAAACUCCGGUCCUUGGAUGAAUACUGGUACCCAACGAAAUGUAAUUUACCCCAAACGUUGUGGAGAAUCUGGUGGCCGUUCUCGUCUUCUUACGGGAGGUACCACCUGGUCACUCCGGUCCCAUCCCAGGUGCUCAAUUGCAGAAUCUCCAAAUAUGAAAUUGUAAAUGGAAAAGUAGCUGGUAACUGAGGAUUAUUGUUACCGGCCCCUAUAUAUAUAUAUGCUUAUGAGCAACAGGAAGUAAAUUGAUUUCGGUCUGCUCUUGGUGCAAGAGCCCGUGCUGGCAUAAGGCUAGCUUUAUCUCUGUUUAAACAAACAGCAGCCAGUUGGAAUUAUGUUUCUUGGUUUAUAUAACCACGAAAUUCACUUGCCUCAUAUUGUUAGUUUAAAUUUUACCUCACUACCUUAUUAAGAAAUAAGUGAAAUAAAUAAUCUUAAUCAAUUCAGAUAUUAGAGAUUUGCAGCAGGUUACUUUUGUACAACUUUGAGUUUUGACACAAUUUUCAAAUAAAAAAUUGUGAGUAGUUGACACAGUUAAAAAAUCUGAGUAGUCGUCCCACACACACAAAAAAACUAAUUUUGAAUUAGUUAUAAAUGUGAUGCGUUCAGAAAUAUUUCUUCACAGCCCUGGAUUACCGGCUUAAUAAUAAUUCUUGAAACAGUUCCAGCAAUCUUCUCUUGCUCAGUCGUCUCUUUUCAGAGUCCCAUUGCUUUCUCGCUUGGAGCCGUAGUCUUGCUUGAGGCCUCAUUUACUCUAGUGCUGAACAAUAUUUUACUCUCGCUGUUUUCUCUCUCAGACUCUCUCUACCUGUAAAAUAUGAAGAGAAAUCUUUAUAAUAAUCUGUUAAAGUCAUAAUAAUCUGUUGGUCAAAUUUCAAAACUGAUAUGACCUACAAUCUGUAUUAAGUCGUCAUAAGCAAAACUCUGUAACUGUAAUAAUGACCAGACUUAUAAUGGUUAAUCGUCGUUUCAUUGUUACAGUCUUGCUUAUAAUGACUUACAACACUGACUUACAACACUGACCAUCGUUAAGUCUUUUGUGGUCAUUGUUAUACUUACAGACUAACAAUGAAAUUAUAAUGGUAAGUCGUUAUGAGCAAAAGAUAAUUUUAAUGUAACAAACCUAAAAUUUUGUUAUAAUGACAUGACAAAAUUAUUACAGAACUUCCUGUAGUAAGUUCAUUUGCUUUUAUUGACAUGACAAAAUUAAAAGCAAAUGAUUUGUAACUACUAGAAAUUUUUUAAUUAUGACAUGACAAAAUUAAAUGCAAAUGACUUGGAACAAUGAAAUGACAAACCCUUCGAAAUGCACCAAGAACAUUAAAAUUGAGAUUGUUUAUACGCAAAGUGUUAUCUAUUAAACUAUUCUUCAAAAUGCGUUUAUUUAUAAUCCAAUUCUUCGGAAUACGCGAUUUUCCUUUAAAAUCUUUUCUUUGCAAUUAAAUGCAUUUCCAAAAUAAGAAAAUAGCAAGUUCAUAAACGCUACCAUAAUUAAUUAACCUCAAAAAUACAAUCAUCGCUUAAUAGCAUUCGAUGCACAAGCUAUACAUGGAAAUAAAGUAAAUAAUCUCCCAGUUCAAAGUACUGAAAAAACCUUUUAAAAGCCUUUUUUGCAAGUUCGUUAAUAGUACUUAAGCUAUAAAGUACUCGACACCACUUCAAAAGAUACAGCGAGGCUAGCAAAAAGCCAGAUCACUAAUUUACAUCAACAAAACGCAAAUGCUAUUUGAAGGCACAACUUUCCAUUGCAAAAUAAAACUCUAAAUGACGCUUCUCGGCAGAGGAAGAAAUUUUCAGACUAACAGAUAAAAGAAAGGCAUUUUAGAAUCACCACGCACUGAAACUUUUGCUCUAUUAACCGUGAGUGUUGCAAACAUUUAAUAUAUAUUUAGAAUAGUUUUUGAAGGCCAUUUCCGUUUUUUCAAGUUGCAAAUCUUCAUCAGUUCGAUAACACUGAGGAAUAGCCUCGUCUAUCAAUACACUUUAGACAUUUUCGGUGUUUAUUUCACCAAAUUAAUCAAAAGAGUACAUAGGGCUACACUUCGCUGUUCCCCUUAUGCAAAACUUGAUGGAAAAAGUUUUAGAGAAAAAUUAAACCUCUUAUGACCUUCGUUGACUUUACAAUUACCUUCCAAUUACGGAUAUCUGUGCUAAAACAACGUCCAACGAUGCAACACGAUGGAGAGCGCGCACGCGCUAGGUGCAAGUAUAUAAAAUUAAUAGGCUCAUCAAAAUACAAAAAAAUCCAUAUAAUUCGUGUACAAUUACCCUGGCCUUGU